GAUGAAGAACGCAGCGAAAUGCGAUAAGUAGUGUGGAUUGCAGAAUUCAGUGAAUCAUCGAAUCUUUGAACGCACAUUGCGCCCCCUGGUAUUCCGGGGGGCAUGCCUGUCCGAGCGUCAUUGCUGCCCUCAAGCACGGCUUGUGUGUUGGGCCUCCGUCCUCCUCCCGGGGGACGGGCCCGAAAGGCAGCGGCGGCACCGCGUCCGGUCCUCGAGCGUAUGGGGCUUCGUCACCCGCUCUUGUAGGCCCGGCCGGCGCUUGCCGACACAUCAAUCUUUUUUCCAGGUUGACCUCGGAUCAGGUAGGGAUACCCGCUGAACUUAAGCAUAUCAAUAAGCGGAGGA
rnacentral:misc_RNA from 1 species